rnacentral:rRNA from 1 species
CGUAGGUGGCAAGCGUUGUCCGGAUUUGUUGGGUUUAAAGGGUGCGUAGGCGGUUUUCUAAGUCAGCAGUGAAAUACGGCAGCUCAACUGUCGAGGUGCUGUUGAUACUGGGGAACUUGAGUACUGAUGAGGUAGGCGGAAUGGACGGUGUAGCGGUGAAAUGCUUAGAGAUCGUCCAGAACACCGAUAGCGAAGGCAGCUUACUAAGGAGUAACUGACGCUGAGGCACGAAAGUGUGGGGAUCAAACAGGAUUAGAUACCCUGGUAGUCCACACUGUAAACGAUGAUUACUCGAUGUGUGCGAUACACGGCACGCGUCUUAGCAAAAGCGAUAAGUAAUCCACCUGGGGAGUACGCCGGCAACGGUG